rnacentral:misc_RNA from 1 species
AAGUCGUAACAAGGUUUCCGUACGUGAACCUGCGGAAGGAUCAUUAACACGUAUCCAAACAUUGAAACCCCCCCCGUGAACCCAUUCAGAGACCUCUGGCUACGUGCGAACAUUGGAACAGUUACAAUCGAGCGGUAGUUCUAUAGGCAAUGUUUCCCCAAGCAGUCAGUGUCGGAAAGUGUCAUUGAUUGUGCAAGGAUAGCGCUUCUACGAUUCCUGUAGACCGUACACUCGGGCAGGAGCUUUGCCAAAGGGUCCCCAUGCCCCCUAAUAACCCCACAGUUUAAUGUGAAGCUCAAUGUAAUACAUUGGGUAAAAAAACCGAACAACUGUUAACAAUGGAUAUCUUGGUUCUC